UACGUAGGAUCCGAGCGUUGUCCGGAAUUACUGGGUGUAAAGGGCGUGUAGGUGGGCCUGUAAGUCGGUGGUGAAAUCCUGCAGCUUAACUGCAGAAUUGCCAUCGAUACUGGAGGUCUUGAGUGCGGCAGAGGGAGAUGGAAUUCAUGGUGUAGCGGUGAAAUGUGUAGAUAUCAUGAAGAACACCAGUAGCGAAGGCGGUCUCCUGGUCCGCAACUGACACUGAGGCGCGAAAGCGUGGGGAG
rnacentral:rRNA from 1 species